ACAAACAAUGAGAAUUCUUAAGGGCUUGUUCAAUCCAGGCAGCUAAAGAGGAAAUUUGAACUGAAAGGAUGGAUAGAGACUUAGACCAUAUGGUGCAAAUGGGAAUUUGUGUGGAACAGAAAGUAAUGACCCAUUCACAUACACAGAGAGGCAACUCAGAAGGCUAAAUUUACAGUUCCUCAGGAAAGCUUAAUGCAAAUGAACUGCCCCUCAGCAGAUAAAAAUCAGAUAUAUCUGCAUAAUGGAGAGAUUUUGAGUUCAAGCCUACUUUCAUUGAAGUCAGUGGCAAACUCCCAUGGAGUGAGAGUACUGAUCAGUAAUUUAAGGUUAAAAACUUUACAGAGCUGUUCUGGUUAUUCCAAAACCAAGCAUAACAAACCCAGAAAACUCACAGUUAAGGUUAUACUUAAAAGAAACCCAAAUAUGUUAAGUAUGAGAGUGCACAAUUAAGGCACCCGAACAACCUUCACGUUGCAAUAUAAUGAUGUCAAGCAAAUAAAGGAGAAGCAAUUUCAUGGCAAAGACUAUAUGUGGAUUUCGGGUUGCAUCCUGUUAGCUAUAAACAAAUGGUCACCCCUCCCCCACAAAAUGUGAGGGUCCACUGUGCCACAGCACAAGUACUUUUGUGGGUUUGCUGCAAGGAAUUCCUCUAUUAGAGAUCUGCAGGUAGCAACAUGGGGCUCUGUAGGUAUUUUUACUAAGCACUACUCACUUAUGCAAGCUUCAUCCAUGGAGGUUUCCUCUGGAACAGCAGGCCUGUGAUCUGUGGUGCAGCAUAAUUCCUCACACCCUCCUCCUAAAUGUGAUGCUGUUUGUGAGUCACACACAGUGACUACUCAUAGGGACCUGCACUUGAAGAAGAAAGAAAGGUUACUUACUUUAUAGUAUCUGGAGUUCUUCCAGAUGUGUGGUCCCUAUAUGUGUUCCAUGACCCACUCUCCUUCCUCUCUGCUUUGGAACCUUACCAUAAGGCACAGUACUGUAAGAACUGGAGAGGCAGGCAGGCAGUCCGUGCCACUUCUUUUGUCCCCCGUUUGGAACAUGAGCAGGCACAGGCCAGCAGACACUGCUCAGGCACAUGGAGCACACCCAUAGUGAAUGUGGAAUGGGACCACACAUCUCUUUAGUAAUUCCAGUUACUAAAAGGUGAGUAACCUUUCUUUAUGGAAAACAUCUUCUUAUUCAGAAUAUCUGUGCCUUGUUUAUCUUUGACAUCUGUCAGUUUAAUUUGAUGGGGAAAAAUAUUUUUACCACUCUGUGCGUUACAGAGCUAAUAAAGCUAUGGAAGAGCGAACAUGGUUCUGGAAAGCCUCAGAUAACAUCCAGAAAUCUGCAGCUGAGCUGAUAUUGCAGUAUUUUUACUAAUGGUGAUAACUGUAGAGGCAGAAAAAACAUAACCUGAUUUUUAAGUGUCAGGUUGAAUUUGGGAAAAAAAUUGAAUGUUUGAUUUUUAAAUUGAGCAGAUGAGAUAGAGCAAGACUAGUCCUGGAACCCCACCAUUAUUUGGCAGGGUUUUAUGGGCAUUUAUAUGUACUUUAAAUACCAUAGAGUUAUUUCAGUCAGUGUAGAAUAUAAGUGAAGGUUCUGUCCAGUUAAAAUAUUAAACAAGUGACAACAUAGUCAUGUGGUUAUUUGGAAGUGUCAUGUCAAUAAAAUCUAUUUCUAUUUAAAAAAUAAUAUGUACUACUAAUAAUACCAUUAAAGUUACCUGUUAUAAAUAUCAAUAAACUUUUUUUUAUUUCAAAAUGUUCUUGAAAAGGAAUUGUUCAAUACCUCUCUCUUUCAGGGCUGGUUCCCUGCCACAGCCAAUGCAGCAACCCUACUACACUGUAAUGAAACAUCACCAGGUUCACCAUGGGCCUGGUGAUUUGGGCUGCUGCUGGACGGAGCAGAGCUGGUGACCCAUGGCAGAGAACUUAGGGAAGGGGCUCUGGAACACCAAAAGUUAUGGUGGCCGCACUUGUAGCUGCGUUGUGGUGACCAUAUGCGGUUACCAUGGCCACACUUGAGAAUCACUGCUAUAGAGCAACAGCAUCAGUAACAGAACUAAGAAAUAAUGAGCUACAGAGUAAAAGAGUCAUCCCUUGUACUGCAAGUUAAAAAAAAAAUCCAAGGCACAAGUUCUUAUUAAAAAUAAGAAACAAGUUGGGGGUAGUUGUAAAAGGUCACUAAGGACCUGCUCCGUCCACAUUUAAGUUAACAGGUGCUUUGCUAGUGAUUUUAAGGGAGCAAGAAUGGGACGUGAAUGAUACAAAAAAGGCAGUAAUUUUAGCGAAUCAUUUAUAAAUUAAAUUCAAAAAAGUAAUUUAAAUCAUAUUUCUGAUACAAAAAUUAUCCAAAGCUGGGACAUUUGAAGGGAAGGCUUGACCAUCCAUCCUUGAAAUUUGAGCUUUAUCUAAUAAUUGUGAACCACAGUCUUAAACUUGUUUACAUCUGUUCUCUUGUUUACUUAACAAUAGAAAUAACCUUUUAUAGAAUAGUUUAAAAGUUACUUUAUUUAUGUGUUCCAUGUAUAUUUGCAUUUGGUGUCAAAUCAAUUUGUCUCCCUCACCUGGAGUUGUAUGAUGACAUUACUGGUAUCUGCUGUGGGGGAGAGAGAUUAAAUGCAGGAGAUAAUUUUUAAACAAUUUAUAACUUAGUUAUUUUAAAAAAAGUGUGUGUGUGCAUGGGGUGAGGGGAGAAAUGAGGAAGACCACAUUAUGGGAACAGAGCCUUAUCUGUAUAUGCUGGGCUCAUUUAUUAAGAUGUAUUUAAAAUUGUACCUAUCCCUAACUCUGGUACAUGAACAAAAUUUUGUUCCAAACACAUACAAAUCCAAAUUGGAUUUUCACCAAUGAAAGACCUUCCCUAACCUACCCAAAUUGAAACCCAUCUUUCUCAUUAACUUCCCACUGUCAGCCUUUUCCCCACAGAGCCUAGGGGUCUUGUCUUCACAAACAUUUAGUUCACAGCAACAAGCUGGGGUGUGAAUCUACCCCCACUAGUCUGCCACAGUCUAACUGUUCAUGUGGACCCUGCUGACAUGCAUUAACAAUCUGCUAAUGUGCUUUGAUCUAGACCUGUGUCAAAGAAGACUAGAUCAAAGUGCUCUAAAUCUCCCUCCUCAUUAACUUCCCACAGCCUUCCUGUACAAAGCCUAGGUAAAUAGAUAGGCAUUACAAGAAAAUAAGUUUCAGAGAUAAGGGAUCCCCUCACUGAGAACACCUUGUCCUCAACUUCCUCAGGUGUAAACUCAGCUGAUUUCAACUUCUGUGGUAUUGCACAAGCAGCCUGAUGGUUUCUAAAAUAAGCAAGGCCUGACCUUUUUAUAGAUUCAGACCAGCCCCUUGAAUUGCAACCAGAAAUGUAUGGGAAGCCAGUGCAGGUCAAGGGGCACAGGUAUAACACACUGCCUGAGGGAAGUACUGUUGAAGAAGCAGGGAGCUGUUUUCUGUACUUCCUGACGUUUCUGACUGGUCUGCAAGUGUAGUGCCAUGGAGAACACAUUGCAAUAGGCCUUGGAGUUGACAAAAGACAUAAGCAAAGGGGGGGUGAGAGGGGGAGUGUGCAUCUAGAAAAACAAGUAAUAAAUGGAAAAGGUCACUGUUGGCUACUGCCCCUUCCCACCGGCCCCUGAGAUUAAUUAGACAUUGGGACAACCAAUCAACUUCAACAUCUGUAUCUCAUAACUAGAAAGGUCAGUCAGAGGUGGUUGUUCAAGAGCAAUGGGGGAAACUUUUUUGGCAUUUGGGACCUAAAUUUGCACCUUCUGUGUGGCAGUGCAUUGCCUUGCCACUAAACUACUGGCUAGUUUCUUUUUGAUGCCUGUUCUAAUAAUCCUUUAACUAUAGUGUACUAUAUGUGUACAUGAUAUGUAUGGAUGCAUAAACAUAUAGUUAUAGUUAGGCAUGGAAGGAUUAGAUUUUUAUUGGUAAAUGUCAAUUUCACCAUAGGCACACAAGCUAAAAAAUAUUUUCAUUUAGUCUCAAUUUACAGAUAGGCAAAAUAAGAAAGCUACUGCUUAAAAACUUAUUAGAGUUUGAUUUAAGAAUAUUUAAUCAUAGAAUAUCAGGGUUGGAAGGGACCUCAAGAGGUCAUCUAGUCCAAUCCCCUGCUCAAAGCAGGACCAAUCCCCAAUUAAAUCAUCCCAGCCAAGGCUUGGUCAAGCCUGACCUUAAAAACCUCUAAGGAAGGAGAUUUCACCACCUCCCUAAGUAACCCAUUCCAGUGCUUCACCACCCUCCUAGUGAAAAAGUUUUUCCUAAUAUUCAACCUAAACCUCCCCCUCUGCAACUUGAGACCAUUACUCCUUGUUCUGCCAUCUGGUGCCACUGAGAACAGUCUAGAUCCAUCCUCUUUGGAACCCCCUUUCAGGUAGUUGAAAGCAGCUAUCAAAUCCCCCAGAGCAGAUAUUAUAAUUUUAAUUGAAUAGAAGAUCAUAGGGCAGUUUGGUUUAGAAUUGUCCAGAGGUGGAGUAAUUUCAGAGUAGGAUUUUUCCUCGACUCUUAUCAGUUGUUAAGCUACCGUUAUUAUAAUUAUCUGCAUUAUGUUUUCUAUUAAACCUGAAAAAUAGCCACUC